UACGUAGGGUGCGAGCGUUAAUCGGAAUUACUGGGCGUAAAGCGUGCGCAGGCGGUCUGUUAAGACCGAUGUGAAAUCCCCGGGCUUAACCUGGGAACUGCAUUGGUGACUGGCAGGCUUUGAGUGUGGCAGAGGGAGGUAGAAUUCCACGUGUAGCAGUGAAAUGCGUAGAGAUGUGGAGGAAUACCGAUGGCGAAGGCGGCCUCCUGGGCCAACACUGACGCUCAUGCACGAAAGCGUGGGGAGCAAACAGG
rnacentral:rRNA from 1 species